rnacentral:rRNA from 1 species
CCUACGGGAGGCAGCAGUGGGGAAUAUUGGGCAAUGGGCGCAAGCCUGACCCAGCAACGCCGCGUGAAGGAAGAAGGCUUUCGGGUUGUAAACUUCUUUUGUCAGGGAAGAGUAGAAGACGGUACCUGACGCAUCAGCCACGGCUAACUACGUGCCAGCAGCCGCGGUAAUACGUAGGUGGCAAGCGUUGUCCGGAUUUACUGGGUGUAAAGGGCGUGUAGCCGGGUUGACAAGUCAGAUGUGAAAUCCUGCGGCUUAACCGCAGAACUGCAGUUGAAACUGUUGAUCUUGAGUACUGGAGAGGCAGACGGAAUUCCUAGUGUAGCGGUGAAAUGCGUAGAUAUUAGGAGGAACCCCAGUGGCGAAGGCGGUCUGCUGGACAGCAACUGACGGUGAGGCGCGAAAGCGUGGGGAGCAAACAGGAUUAGAUACCCGAGUAGUC